UUUAAUCAUGCAGAAUCUCAUUUUCAGAGUAGGCAGAUAAGUAAGUUGAUAGUUAAACAUUUGUAAACCAAUACAUUCCAGCAAAAUCCGCCCAUUGGCCAUGUGGCCAAAGGACACCACAGCGCUUGAUUCAGUGGAGAAAAUAAUGUUCUCAAGCUCACUGGAAAAAAAUAUACUCACUCAUUUCUUCCUUUAUUCAAGAAAUCACGUGUUGAGUGCCUACUGUGUGCACUGUGCUAUACCGGGAACACACACAGCUGAGAACAGACAGGGAAGCUCCUGCUGCCAUAGUUCGAACAUUCUGGUUGAGCUGACAGAAAAUGAACCAACAGAGAAACCAUAGCUUGUGACAAUGGUGGAAAGAAUUCUAACAGAGUGGCAGAGCAGGCGAUGAGUGGGAGCAAAAGUGAGUAGGCACAAACCAAGCCUCCGUGAGGACAUGUCACUGGAACUUAAGGCUGCAGGGGGACAGCCGACACAAUGGAGAGGAGCCUUCUUGGGUGUCAGGAGACCUGGAGUGACAGGCACUGACUGUCCUUACUGGAGUGCAGUCUCCAUCUCUGGGGGCCUCCUUUCUCUCUGGUCACCUUCCGUUCCAGCAGACAAACAAUGUGGGAAUCUAAGUCAUCACUAGCCAGUCAAUUGAAGAAUCACUUUCAUAUGAAAAUACUUCGUCAACUGUGAAGAACAGCACGAUAGUACUCCCAGUUGGGGCUUCCCCGAAACUCCCCUAGGUCGGUGAAUGAAAUAAGAACUAAUGGCAUAGGGCAGGUCUGGCUGGCAGUGCCCACUGCCCAGGGAGAAGACAGAAGCUGCCUGUCUCUCUGGAUUCACUUGUUCUGAAUAUUUCACCCUAUGAAAUAUACCUACCACCUUGUGUCUCUGGCUCCUUUCGCUUAGCAUACUAUUUUCUAAAUUUCUCAAGGUUGUAGUAUGUUUUAAUAGUCAUUUCUUGUCACAGCUAGGUAUGUUUCACCCCAUGCAUAUGCCAUAAUUUAUCUACUCAUUCUCCUAUUAGUGAGACACUGACCCUUCACCUUCCUAGCAUGUGUGAUCAGUGGCACUAUGAAUAUUACAUAUGCGUGUAUUUGUUCCAAAAACCUGCUUUUAAUUUCUUUGGAGUAGAUAGCCAUGAAUUAAAUUGUGGAGUCAUAUGGUAAUUCUCUGCUUAACAUUUUGAGGGGAAAGAUAUGAAUUUUUAAAGUCAAACAGGUAAUAUAGAUAGAUUAUUGUAGAAUCCAAUAACAGAAAGGGGACACUAUUUUUCUUGCCCAUCUCUUCCUGCUGCCAACUACGGUCCCAUUGCUCCUUUGCGACUGAACAAGAUUGGAGCCUUCACUCCAGAUCUCCCACCUUUGAUGAGAUGUCUCCCAGGAGUGAGCUCUAAAUGCUACGAGGAUACUGAGUCCUAAUCCCGGAACAUGCGAGCUGAACUGCAUUCUGUUCCCAUCUCCCACCAUUUACUUUGGGCGCCUGGUGCUGUUAGCCAUCCCUGAAUCAGUCGUAUGAAGAGAGCUAUUAGCGAAGGUUAAUUAGUACCACUGACAUAGCCCCAGAAGUAACCUCCCUGAACUUAUCAAGGAAGGCCAAGUCCAGCACUCCUGGGAGAGGGAAGCCAGGCAACCACACUCUCAGUUCAGAGCGAGAGUGCAUCCUGCCCUUGGCCAGCCAUUUUUCCUGCCAUAGUUCCAUUGGAGUACCUUGUAGUUCAGAAGCCUGUGGGAAAUAGCAUGCAGAGGGAGCUGGGAAUGAAGUGACCGAGAGACAGGACGACAGUUUGCCAUUCACAAGCUGAGCUUCCCAGGGAUGAGCCCUUGCUGUCUUUGUUAUCCAUUUAGUAAAUCACUCAGUUUCUCGGUCUA